ACGUGAUGAUGAUGAUGAUAAUGAUGAUGACGAUGAUGAUGAUACUGCUACUUUAUCACCAUUAUUAUCAUCAAAUAAU
rnacentral:miRNA from 1 species